ensembl:lncRNA
GGACGCUGGUGGGGCGAGUGAGCGAGCGGAGGACGGGGCUGUGCUUCUUCCUGCUCUCGAUCUCCGCUAUGAUGUGGAUCCAAUCCAACCUUCCUCUGAGCUAAGCCAUAUCCUGGUCUGGCUACAUGUGCCAUUUGGCGCCUUCCAUCAGGGUUAGUCACCAG